rnacentral:rRNA from 1 species
AUGGUGAUGAGAGGCAACAAAAGCAAUGUCAAGACCUUAGAGUUGAUCCUUGUAGUUGUGCGUCUUGUGGCCCUUGAGCAAACCCAGCAAGCACAAACUAAUGUUUGCUGUGUUUUUAUGUCUCAGUCGUACUAUUAUUGGACAUGUCGUGAGGUCGCCCGAUCAAGCAUCGAAACCUGUAGCGAGUUGCCCUUAGUAUCUGGCCAUAUAUGGGACAAUGGGUGCACCUCCCCUUAUGUCAAUCCAGAAAUUCCACACAUACAAGCUGCAGCUGACUACCAUGAAACAACCAUCAACUACAGGAAGCUAGGGCGCACAUCGUCCGUGUGCAACAAAAUUACAUGUGGUGCACUUGGUAAUCUAUUUUAUGUAGUAUAA